rnacentral:rRNA from 1 species
AUUGAACGCUGGCGGCAGGCUUAACACAUGCAAGUCGAGCGGGGUGAUGGUGCUUGCACUAUCACUUAGCGGCGGACGGGUGAGUAAUGCUUAGGAAUAUGCCUAUUAGUGGGGGACAACAUCCCGAAAGGGUUGCUAAUACCGCAUACGUCCUACGGGAGAAAGCAGGGGAUCACUUGUGACCUUGCGCUAAUAGAUGAGCCUAAGUCGGAUUAGCUAGUUGGUGGGGUAAAGGCCUAACAAGGCGACGAUCUGUAGCGGGUCUGAGAGGAUGAUCUGCCACACUGGGACUGAGACACGGCCCAGACUCCUACGAGAGGCAGCAGUGGGGAAUAUUGGACAAUGGGGGGAACCCUGAUCCAGCCAUGCCGCGUGUGUGAAGAAGGCCUUAUGGUUGUAAAGCACUUUAAGCGAGGAGGAGGCUCUUUUGGUUAAUACCCAAGAUGAGUGGACGUUACUCGCAGAAUAAGCACCGGCUAACUCUGUGCCAGCCGCCGCGGUAAGAC